CAGGGCUGGGGGUGAAGGGUCUGGCCAGGAGCUAGAAUAAGGGGGGGAGCUCAGGAUUGGGGAGGAGGUUUGGAUGUGGGGCACUUACAUUGGCAGCUCCCAUUUGGUGCGAGGGGUGCAGGUGGGAAUGGGGUGGGGGAUGGGGCAG